rnacentral:rRNA from 1 species
GGGGAAUUUUCCGCAAUGGGCGCAAGCCUGACGGAGCAACGCCGCGUGAGGGAUGAAGGCCUCUGGGCUGUAAACCUCUUUUCUCAAGGAAGAAGAUCUGACGGUACUUGAGGAAUAAGCCACGGCUAAUUCCGUGCCAGCAGCCGCGGUAAUACGGGAGUGGCAAGCGUUAUCCGGAAUUAUUGGGCGUAAAGCGUCCGCAGGCGGCCUUGAAAGUCUGUUGUUAAAGCGUGGAGCUUAACUCCAUUUCAGCAAUGGAAACUACAAGGCUAGAGUGUGGUAGGAGCAGAGGGGAUUCCCGGUGUAGCGGUGAAAUGCGUAGAUAUCGGGAAGAACACCAGUGGCGAAGGCGCUCUGCUGGGCCAUAACUGACGCUCAUGGACGAAAGCCAGGGGAGCGAAAGGGAUUAGAUACCCCUGUAGUC